UGGGCUGCUAAAGUGGUGACCAAUGGAAAUGUUUUGCUAGAGGACACAAGGAGGGGCAUUUUCAUGCACAUAAACACAUGAAACCAGCUUUGCUAACAGUUUAUUUGUCCAUCUACCAGUUACUUUUCUGAAGCAGUUUUAUCCAAAGAAGUCGGCUGCGCCAUGUCUUUUUUAAAGAAAGGACUUGGAGAUAUUAAACCCGAUGGGAUUGUAAAACAAGGAAAGGAAGCUGUGGAGGAUACUGUAAACCAGUGCAUUCAAGAAGGGCAAAAAUGUGUUCAAGAAGUGGUUGACAAAGGCACAGAAGCUGCUAAAGAUGCUGCAAACAAGGCAGUAACUGAUAUUAAAAUUGGCUUCAAGCAGAAGUGAAAGUCAUUUUACUCUUCUCUUACUGAAUUGAUCGGAUCUGGUUUAAGCAGUAUAUAGUCUUUGCAUAAUAUAUAUUUCCUAUAGAUAAAUGAUUAUAUCAUUCUCUAACUAAUAUGAUCUGUUCUUUCCAUACCCGUGAUAUCAUAAUUUGUUAUAAAUAUAUCUGAUGUUAUGUAAGCUAGGUAAGGAUGCAGAACUAGACAGUUCUAAAGAUGAAUGUUGGACAAGUUUAUGGUAUUUAUAAGUAGAAAUUAGGUCUAGUAAAUAAUCACUGGAUUACUAACUUGUUAACUUUACUUAUUCUAGGAAAUUUUACUUGUUCAAAGACAAGUUCUUGCUACCCUAGUAAACUGUAGAGCUGGUGUAGAGUAAGAUGACAGGUUGGCCCAAGGGAAGUGGGAAGCAAAGCAUAUGGUAAGAAUUAAAGUGGAUCCAAGGUUAGAUGUAAUACAUAAAACUGAGGCAAAGGUACAAUAUUUAAAAGACAACCCUACAUUCUCCUACCAUGUAUAUAUUGGGCACAUCACCCCCCACCCAAAGCGCAUCAUUUGUACUGCAUAUAUCCCCUUCGCCAGCGCCAUUACAUUUUCCAAAAGCAAAUAGCAGAUUACACCCACAGCAGCCAUUUUCCCUUUGACACAUCAUCGGUAAUAUAUACAUCUGCAAACAGUUCAUGCAAUCAAGAAUGCAAGCUUACACAGACUGAACUCACUUUAAUAAAAAUUCUUAUUUGAUUUGUAAUGAUUAAGCUGAGCUAAGACCAUCAGGAGAAAAAAUAGGAGCAGACAGCUACAGCAGAAUUUCUAUGGGAACCAGCAAUGCCAUCUUUUCAAUGGCUGCUAGACUGGAGGGCAUAUUUAGUGAAGAACUGAGCAUGUGCCAUAGCCAACAGCCAUAGUAAAUUCUCAAGGGAGGGACCGAGAGGGUUAAAGGAGGCAAAGGAAUCUUAAUUGAUUAAGUAGAUGCUGCAGUCUUACUAAUGUCUUACUAUCAAGCACUACAUGCUAGAUUUAAUGCAAGACCAAACCUGGUCAUAUAAAAAGUAGAUUUUGCAUCACAUCACAGCUUCUUGGAAACUGAAUUAACAUACUUUUGUAUAUAUUUAUAUACAUAUUAAAACAUGCGUUUUCACAGCAAAAUGUACUGUAACAUUAAUGUUCUCGGUGCAUCAGUAUGUACACUGACAAUAUACCAGAUGGCAGGGUUCUAACUUGCAUUGCGGAUCAAACAAUGAAAUAAUUCUUUACUGGGUUGAAGUGUUUUUCAUUUUGAAAUGUGCAGAAACUAGUAAAAAAUAGAAUGUACAUUCAAAACUUUUACAAGAAUGUCAAGGUAAUUAUUCUGACAACUAUGCAUGGCUGGUUUAAAAUUUAUUAAAACAGUUGGAAUGUU